AUAAAUGAAGACUCAACUAUAAGGGACCCAGUAAAUAAACAUAGGAGACAAUGCCUUAAGAGAAACAGAAGGUAAAAGUAAGGAAAAUAUUUAAAAAAUCAAAAAGAACCUAAGAGAGAGAGAAAGAUUGAGGAACAAUACAGCUAUUGAAUGAAUAUAGGCAAAGAACCAACAUGUGGAUAACAAAAGUGUCUGAAUAAGAAAACCAAAGCAAGA
rnacentral:lncRNA from 1 species